rnacentral:rRNA from 1 species
UAGCGAAGGGGGCUAGCGUUGUUCGGAAUCACUGGGCGUAAAGCGCACGUUAGGCGGAUCUUUAAGUCAGGGGUGAAAUCCCGAGGCUCAACCUCGGAACUGCCUUUGAUACUGGAGAUCUCGAGUCCGGGAGAGGUGAGUGGAACUGCGAGUGUAGAGGUGAAAUUCGUAGAUAUUCGCAAGAACACCAGUGGCGAAGGCGGCUCACUGGCCCGGUACUGACGCUGAGGCGCG